rnacentral:rRNA from 1 species
UACGUAGGGGGCAAGCGUUGUCCGGAAUCAUUGGGCGUAAAGCGCGCGUAGGCGGCCCGGUAAGUCCGCUGUAAAAGUCCAGGGCUCAACCCUGGAAUGCCGGUGGAUACUGUCGGGCUAGAGUCCGGAAGAGGCGAGUGGAAUUCCUGGUGUAGCGGUGGAAUGCGCAGAUAUCAGGAGGAACACCGGUGGCGAAGGCGGCAUCCUGGACCGGCAUUGACGCUGAGGCGCGAAAGCCAGGGGAGCAAACGGG